AUCAGAUAGAAAGAAAGAACGAUAGAUUAGUUAGAAAGAAAGAUGGAUAGAUUAAUUAGUUAGAAAGAAAGAACGAUAGAUUAGUUAGAAAGAAAGAUGGAUAGAUUAGUUAGAAAGAAAGAUAGA